GUUCUGUCAAAAAAAUUGGGACACCACGACGCCAUGACUGUGAACAAAUGUAUUUGCUUUCACUUUGUGUGUAGUUAUGUUUGAAGAGACAGUUAACAGGCCGCGUUACUGAGGUUCCAUUAUGGGUUGCCAGCCAAGCCAGCUGAAACAUAAGAUCGAGCCCGCGACAAAACAACCAGCAAAAACAAAUCUUCCUCUUAGCGCACGCCAGAUAUAUUUGUUGAAGCGGUCGUGGAAAGGGAUUCAAAGAGAAUUGAAAGUGACGGCCACAGAUAUGUUUGUAAGAUUGUUCUGGCAACACCCGUACUUGAAGAGUUUAUUUACAUUCAAAAACAUGGAGAACGUGGACGAAUGUACAUCAAGUGCCGGCAGACCCUUCACACACCACGCCUUUCUUGUAAUGAAAGUAGUGGAUGUUUGCAUCAGUAACAUCGACGACUUGGACUAUACAUCCAAACUGUUGGCAGAAAUACUACGAAUUCAUAAGGCGAACGGUCUUAGUUACAAAUUAUUUUGGAAAAUAAAGCAGCCGUUUCUACAAGCGGUGAAACACACGCUGGAUGAGAGAUACUCAGAUAACAUGGAAACUGUCUAUAUAACUGUUAUUGACUAUAUUCUACUCCACCUUUCUGAAGGAAUAUCCGAAAGUGAAUGUCUUGGUGAUGACGCGAUAAAAGAAGAAAUCGAGCGCUCCGGAAUUGUGAGCUUGAAAGAAGAACUUGCCAAGAAACAACCCCCUAAGUCAAAUGUUGGUCUUAGGUAUGAUAGUAGCACCCUCACCGAAUUGGUUAGCCAAAAGACGGAGGACGAACCUGAAAACGACAAGCUUCAGGAGUUCGGGAUCAUGUAGAGAAUACCGCGUGGAAAGUGGCCGUUAGAAUCCCAUUUACCCUACAACGUAUCCCAGUCAUAAAUGCUGUGACGUCCAUAAGCGUACGAGACAGGUUGCGGAGGACACCUCCUCCAGUGCUGGAGCAAAUCCUCAAAUUUGGGCAAAGACGAUUGGGAUAUUCGGGCACAAUAAGCAGAAACCUGAAACCCUUUUUCACCAUGUAUUUCCAUAAUUCUACCUACAAUAUUAGUUGUAAUCCAUGGAAAAAUGCACAGACAUUCGUUUGCAACGUUAAAUAGCUGUUUGGUAAUAAUGCUAAUAUGAAUAAAUGUUGUAAUCCAG
rnacentral:misc_RNA from 1 species